UACGAAGGGGGCUAGCGUUGUUCGGAAUUACUGGGCGUAAAGCGCGCGCAGGCGGUUCUUCAAGUCAGAGGUGAAAGCCCAGAGCUCAACUCUGGAAUGGCCUUUGAGACUAGAGAACUAGGGUACGGGAGAGGUGAGUGGAAUUCCGAGUGUAGAGGUGAAAUUCGUAGAUAUUCGGAAGAACACCAGUGGCGAAGGCGGCUCACUGGCCCGUUACCGACGCUCAGGCGCGACAGCGUGGGGAGC
rnacentral:rRNA from 1 species